AGAAAAAAUUUGGAAUUGAAAUAAGAUUGCUAAUUUUAUUUCGGGUAAUUCAAUUUUAUCCUUUUUCUU
rnacentral:tRNA from 1 species